UGGGGAAUAUUGGACAAUGGGCGAAAGCCUGAUCCAGCCAUGCCGCGUGUGUGAAGAAGGUCUUCGGAUUGUAAAGCACUUUAAGUUGGGAGGAAGGGCAUUAACCUAAUACGUUAGUGUUUUGACGUUACCGACAGAAUAAGCACCGGCUAACUCUGUGCCAGCAGCCGCGGUAAUACAGAGGGUGCAAGCGUUAAUCGGAAUUACUGGGCGUAAAGCGCGCGUAGGUUGUUUGUUAAGUGGGAUGUGAAAUCCCCGGGCUCAACCUGGGAACUGCAUUCAAAACUGACUGACUAGAGUAUGGUAGAGGGUGGUGGAAUUUCCUGUGUAGCGGUGAAAUGCGUAGAUAUAGGAAGGAACACCAGUGGCGAAGGCGACCACCUGGACUAAUACUGACACUGAGGUGCGAAAGCGUGGGGAGCAAACA
rnacentral:rRNA from 1 species